AGUGAACGCUGGCGGUAGGCCUAACACAUGCAAGUCGAACGGAAGCACAGUAAGAGCUUGCUCUUAAGGGUGGCGAGUGGCGGACGGGUGAGGAAUAGAUAGGAAUCUAAUAUUACGUGGGGGAUAACGGAGGGAAAGAGACGCUAAUAGAGAAUAUGACGAACGGGAGAAAGCAGGGGAGAAUGGGAGCUUGCGCGAUUGAAUGAGACGAAGUCGCAUUAGCUAGUUGGCGGGGUAACGGAACACCAAGGCGACGAUCCGUAGCGGAUCUGAGAGGAUGAUCAGCCACACUGGAACUGAGACACGGUCCAGACUCCUACGGGAGGCAGCAGUAGGGAAUCUUGCACAAUGGGCGCAAGCCUGAUCCAGCCAUACCGCGUGAGUGAUGAAGGCCUUCGGGUUGUAAAGCCCUUUUGUUGGGAAAGAACAGCUGCAUGUUUAUCCCCCGCUGUUCUGACGGUACCCAAUCAAUAAGCCCCGGCUAACUUCGUG
rnacentral:rRNA from 1 species